rnacentral:rRNA from 1 species
GACGAACGCUGGCGGCGUGCUUAACACAUGCAAGUCGAACGGAAAGGCCCUACGGGGUACUCGAGUGGCGAACGGGAGCGGAACACGUGGGUGAACGGCCCCGCACUUUGGGAUAAGCCUGGGAAACUGGGACUAAUACUGAAAAGGACCGCGCGCUGCAGGGGGAGGGGUGGAAAGCUUUUGCGGUGUGGGAUGGGCCCGCGGCCGAUCCGCCUGUGGGUGGGGUAAUGGCGGACCAAGGCGACGACGGGGGGCCGGCCUGAGAGGGUGACCGGCCCCACUGGGCCUGGGGUGCCGCCCGUACUCCUACGUGAGCCAGCAGCGGGAAAUAUUGCGCGAUGGGCGCCAGCCUGAUGCAGCGACGCCGCGUGGGGGAUGACGGCCGUCGGGUUGUAAACCUCUUUCGCCAGGGACGAAGCCCCAGUGACGGUACCUGGCGAAGAAGCACCGGCCAACUACGUG